rnacentral:rRNA from 1 species
UUUGAUCGAAAUAAAUAUAAAUUCUCUUCUUAUUUCUAUUUUAUGAUCGAUCAAUAUAAACAUCAACAACUUCAAAUUAGACUCGUUUCCCCUCAACAAAUAAAGGCUUGGAUAGCAAAAACCCUACCUAAUGGAGAAGUCGUUGGCGAAGUCACGAGGCCCUCUACUUUUCAUUAUACAACCGAUAAACCAGAAAAAGAUGGAUCGUUCUGCGAAAGAAUCUUUGGACAUAUAAAAAGCGGGAUUUGCACUUCUGGCAAUUCUCGAGCGUGCGGAGCUGAAAACGAAGACGAAAGAUGUUGCCAAAAAUGCGGGGUAGAAUUUGUGGAUUCUCGGAUACGAAGAUAUCAAACGGGAUACAUCAAACUCGCAUGUCCCGUGACUGAUGUGUGA